rnacentral:rRNA from 1 species
AAAGGGUGCGUAGGCGGGUAGGUAAGUCAGUGGUGAAAUCCUGGAGCUCAACUCCAGAACUGCCAUUGAUACUAUUUAUCUUGAAUAUUGUUGAGGUAGGCGGAAUAUGUCAUGUAGCGGUGAAAUGCUUAGAUAUGACAUAGAACACCGAUUGCGAAGGCAGCUUGCUAAACAAUUAUUGACGCUGAGGCACGAAAGCGUGGGGAUCAAACAGGAUUAGAUACCCUAGU